UUUUAAUUUCUUUUGAAUAUAAAUUAAAUACUGUACUUAAUUGAUUUAUUAUUGCCCACUUGAAUUGUAUAGCCCUAGGUGCUGCAGUGUUCUUUAUGUAGAGCGCCAUAUUAAAAUGCUCAAUGUGUUUAGCAGUACUAUCCACUAUGGCGAAUUGUCUCUACUAAAGUUAAAAACUCAAUCAAGUGUGGUGGUGUAGGGAAGUAUUUUGUUUGUUUGAAAGCCUUACUGUGUCUGUGGCAGUUGAUUGAACAAACAGAAAAUUACCUGCUUUCGUCAAAGAAACCCAAAAGUGGCGCUGACAGCGCUCCAGUUGAAGCUGUCUCUGAGGAAAAUGUCAUCAACGAGGAAGCUGUCAUCAACGAGGAGGCUUAUAAUGAUGUGGAAGAAGUAGGAGGUUCUGACAAUGAGGAUUGAAUAGCAUUUUCCAUCUGAGUAAUCUAAUACUAAGUAGGGCUUUUGCUAUAUGGUACCCUCCUUUCCAAUAUGAUUCAAUAUCUAUUUUUGUUUGUCAGUGGGAGCUGUUAGGUUACCCAAUUACACUACACCUGCAAUGCAUCACCUUAGAAUCUAAGACAAAAGUUUUAAACUUGUGUACUUGCUUGUAGAAACCUGACAGUGAGUGCAUGAGUAGCAGAAACGGUCAGUCAAAAACAGGCUUAAUAUUAGGGCUUAACCGAUAAUCUGAUUGGACAGGCUAUAUAUGCAUAUGCCGAUAUGUAACCAAUUCACAAUACAACCUGAUUGUAAUGCGUAAACUCCCAAAACAUGGGCAAAAAAAUCUCAAAAAUCAAAGCAGAAUUAUAACAAAAUUUAAAAUAACACUGUCAUAGUAGUCUUUCUUUAAACUUUCCAGUGAACUUUUCAUCAUAGGUGAGGGCAGUCUGACAGUUAUAGAAAAUACAUGCAUGAAACUCAAUGUUUAUAUCCCUGACAGAGAGAAAGAUAGGAGCCUGGAAAUGGUGAGAACAUUUGGUGCCAAUUAACAACAAUUAAUAAUUUUAGGAAUAGUUUAUUAAUCAUUUCAGGUAGGUUUAUGAAUAUCCUUAAAACUUCUUUUAUUCUCUCAAAAACUACAAAAAAAAAAUUGAAUUCCUUUUUUUCUCUUGAUCUGCAAUCCUUUAAACUGACAAACCCUGUAAUUAGUUUCCUGAAACAAGCUGAAAUUAGGCAUUACUUAAGAAUGUAUUUGGCAAGCCAAUUAUGGGGUCUGUGUCAUCUUGAAGAUGAUUGCAAAUGAAGACUAUUUAAUGAAUUAAUUUUUUGUAUUUUUUUAAACCCUAAAAGAGAUUUUAUAAAUACAAUAAAACUGCCUGAAGAUAUUAAGUAUUUUACGAUUUAUACUUAUGCAAGUAGGAAAUAUAAUAUUCCUUAAAAAAAUGUAUAGAUGUUGAAAUUGGCACCAUUGUAAAACAUGACAACCCCCACCUGCACUAUAUAAACUAGCGAUUUUUUAUAACAAUAAAUUUUGUAGGAAUUGUUUGGUCUUCUUCCCGAUGUUUUUUUUUUUUUAGGGGAGGGGGUGUUUAUGUGAGGGGGUUACACACGUUAACAUUACGAUCAAUUUGUAUUGUGAAUCUGCACCUCAUCGGCACAAGCAUAUAAAUAUUGCCUGUCCGAUUAUUGAUUAAGCCCUAAUCUAGCUCAUUCUUUUAACAUA